GACGAACGCUGGCGGCGUGCUUAACACAUGCAAGUCGAACGGAAAGGCCCUGCUUUUGUGGGGUGCUCGAGUGGCGAACGGGUGAGUAACACGUGAGUAACCUGCCCUUGACUUUGGGAUAACUUCAGGAAACUGGGGCUAAUACCGGAUAGGAGCUCCUGCUGCAUGGUGGGGGUUGGAAAGUUUCGGCGGUUGGGGAUGGACUCGCGGCUUAUCAGCUUGUUGGUGGGGUAGUGGCUUACCAAGGCUUUGACGGGUAGCCGGCCUGAGAGGGUGACCGGCCACAUUGGGACUGAGAUACGGACCAGACUCCUACGGGAGGCAGCGGGGGGGAAUAUUGCACAAUGGGGGGGAGCCUGAUGCAGCAGCGCCGCGUGCGGGAUGACGGCCUUCGGGUUGUAAACCGCUUUCGCCUGUGACGAAGCGUGAGUGACGGUAAUGGGUAAAGAAGCACCGGCUAACUACGUG
rnacentral:rRNA from 1 species